GGGGGAACAGAUUUGGUGAAUGGAAGUUCAAGGAAAAGAUUGAAAUAGCAGCGACCUUGAAAGACCUUGAGGAAGAUGGGGGAGAAGAAAUCUAAGCGACGUUGGUUUAUUCUCCUUGGAGCACAUAUAUCUAUGUUGGUAUAUGGGGCAACCUACCGAUCAUUUGGUGUGUUCCUGGUAGAGUGGAGGAGGUAUUUUGAUUCCUCUGUAGCUGAGAUAAGUGCCAUUGCCAGUGUUCUUGCUGCUUCACACCUCCUGUCAGGUUUCUUUGCUGGCCCAUUCAUGAUGAGAUGGGGCUGUCACAACACUCUUCUCAUUGGUGCAGCCUUU